GGAUGAACGCUGGCGGCGUGCUUAAUACAUGCAAGUCGAACGAAGCACUUCAGCAGACUCCCUUCGGGGUGAAGCCGGUGUGACUUAGUGGCGGACGGGUGAGUAACGCGUGGUAACCUGCCUUAUACAGGGGGAUAACAGCUGGAAACGACUGCUAAUACCCCAUAAGCGCACGGCACCGCAUGAUGCAGUGUAGAAAAAGAUUUAUCGGUAUAAGAUGGACCCGCGUCUGAUUAGUUAGUUGGCGGGGUAACGGCCCACCAAGACCGCGAUCAGUAGCCGACUUGAGAGAGUGAUCGGCCACAUUGGGACUGAGACACGGCCCAGACUCCUACGGGAGGCAGCAGUAGGGAAUAUUGCACAAUGGGGGAAACCCUGAUGCAGCCGACGCCGCGUGAGUGAUGAAGUAUUUCGGUAUGUAAAGCUCUAUCGGCAGGGAAGAUAAUGACGGUACUUGACUAAGAAGCCCCGGCUAACUACGUGCCAGCAGCUGC
rnacentral:rRNA from 1 species